UUGACCGUGCAAGGUAGCGUAAUCACUUGUCUUUUAAAUGAAGACCCGUAUGAAUGGCAUAACGAGGGCUUAACUGUCUCCUCUUUCCAGUCAAUGAAAUUGAUCCCCCCGUGCAGAAGCGGGGAUAAACACAUAAGACGAGAAGACCCUGUGGAGCUUUAGACAAUAGGGUAGCCCAUGUUAAUAACCUUCACUCAAAGAGAAAAAACUAAUUGGACCCUACCCUAAUGUUUUUGGUUGGGGCGACCACGGGGUAACAAAAAACCCCCACGUGGAAUAGGAGUAUUCUCCUAUAACCGAGAGCAACCGCUCUAAGUAUCAAAAAAUUUGACCAUUAAGAUCCGGCAGCGCCGAUCAACGAAACGAGUUACCCCAGGGAUAACAGCGCAAUCCUCUUCUAGAGCCCAUAUCGACAAGAGGGUUUACGACCUCGAUGUUGGAUCAGGACAUCCUAAUGGUGCAGCCGCUAUUAAGGGUUCGUUUGUUCAACGAUUAAAGUCCUACGUGAUCU
rnacentral:rRNA from 1 species